AUGCUGCGGGCUAUAAAAGCGGCGCCAUUUUCCCGGUUCGGGUGUUCCUACACUGGUGAUGCUGUUAUGACCCAAACUCAUUGUCCCUGCUGCUAGCCUUGAAGGUCAAGCCCCUUUCUUUUGAAGGUUAAUCAGAGCCUCAUACCUAGUAAUGUAUACACUUAUUUGCAUUGGUACCUGCAGAAGCCAGACCAGUCUCUGUAACUCCUGAUCUACAAUGUUUCUAACCAAUUUUCUGGGGCACCAGACAGGUUCAGUAACAGUGUGUCAGGUACAAAUUUCACACCCAAGAUCAGUAGAGUGGAGCCUGAAGAUUUGGAAGUUUAUUAUAGCAUGUAACAUAUUUGUGUUCUU